rfam:Triticum aestivum genome assembly, contig: Triticum_aestivum_CS42_TGACv1_scaffold_130059_2BL
GAGGUACUCCCUCCGUCCGAAAAAGCUUAUCCCUCUAAUAAAUAUAUCUAGAAUCAAGUUAGUACUAGAUAUAUCUAUUUGAGGGACAAGUUUUGGACAAGUUUUUUCGGACGGAGGAAGUACAAU